UUAAAUGUAAGUGAAAGCCAGACUGGAGCCUGUCAAAGAUGUUGCCAAAGCCAAGUUGAUGUGCCCAAUGAACAGUGAGGCCAAACAAAACCUUUAUAUUGGAGUUUGGAGCAGAGAAAGGUUUAUUGCAAGGAGAAUGGGCCCCUCAUGCUCAAAAAACCCAAACUCCUCUAUAAUUUUUGGGGAAUGGUUUUUAUAGGCAAAGCUUGUGUAAGGUCUUGAGGAUGUGUCACCUUCUUCUAAUGGGUUGGUGGUGAGGUAACGGGCAUUGCUCCAAGGAAUUUUGUGCUCAGCCUGAAGUUACUUACCAUCCUCCACCUGGGUGGGGGCCUUAGUUCCUGCAGAAGAGCUCAAGAUUUUAUGUAUAUCCCUUGAGCAGGAACCAGGAUCCUUCUUCAAUAGCUGCUCUAUUGUUUCUUGAUUGACUCUCCUUUAUUUUUGUGUCUCCUCACUUCCCUGAUUAUUAACUUUGAAUCCGCCCUUUGGCAUUCAGAAAGGUCUAGAAGGCGGAAUGAAAACUUUUGCCUGCAAAUAGGAAACAAGGGACAUAGAAGGGAUUUGUACCUAGGAGGAACCUACAGGCUCUAUUGGUUUCAAUCUGUGCUAUGAAUAUAAAGAGAAAUAAGCUCUGAACUAGGAAUAUGGGAUAAUAUAAAGAUGAAUUGAACAGGGAUCGUCUCCCCAAUGAUUAACUAUUCGAGAUCGGAGUUAAGUAUAUUAAACGGAUCACAGACUUGAAUAUUAAACCUAAAACUAUGAGCAGAUGAUGUCAUCAAGAUGGUGAUAUAGGUGUUCCAGUCUCAUUCCUAAGAAGACCAACUAGCAAGUAUCCAUAGACAAAAUACAAUUAUGAAAAUGCCAGAACCUGAGAAUGAGUCUGAAGCACCCUUUCUGGGCAACAGAGACCAAGAAGGAUGUUACAAGGAUACUGAAAACCCCACCAAGUGGAAGAAGUUAAUUCCAUGAUGACCAGACCAUAGCCAUGACAUAAGCUGCACGAUUCCAAGAACUGGCCUCAAAGAAGUAGGAAC